rnacentral:rRNA from 1 species
GUAGUCCACGCCGUAAACGAUGGGCACUAGGUGCUUGGGGGAGCGACCCCCUGGGUGCCGGCGCUAACGCAUGAAGUGCCCCGCCUGGGGAGUACGGCCGCAAGGCUGAAACUCAAAGGAAUUGACGGGGGCCCGCACAAGCGGUGGAGCAUGUGGUUUAAUUCGACGCAACGCGAAGAACCUUACCUAGGCUUGACAUGCACGGGAAAGCUUUCAGAAACGAAGGCCCUCCUUCGGGACUCGUGCACAGGUGCUGCAUGGCUGUCGUCAGCUCGUGUCGUGAGAUGUUGGGUUAAG